rnacentral:rRNA from 1 species
UACGUAGGGGGCUAGCGUUGUCCGGAUUUAUUGGGCGUAAAGAGCUCGUAGGUGGUUCGGUAAGUCGGGUGUGAAACCUCCAGGCUCAACCUGGAGACGCCACCCGAUACUGCCGUGACUAGAGUCCAGUAGGGGAGCGUGGAAUUCCUGGUGUAGCGGUGAAAUGCGCAGAUAUCAGGAGGAACACCAGCGGCGAAGGCGGCGCUCUGGGCUGGCACUGACACUGAGGAGCGAAAGCGUGGGGAGCGAACAGG